CCACAACACAGAGUUGCAAUUUACCAAUAAUGGAUGGACCAGGAAACGAACAGGGUCAACAGCCAAGAGGAGGAAGAAGAGGAGCAAGGAUGCGUGGUGGAAGGCAAAACAGAGGAAGAGGCAGAAGAGGACAUAGGCGCAUAUCUGAUGACAUUAGAGCCACUAUUGUAGACCAUGUUGUCAAUCAUGGCCUUACUAUGGCUGAAGCGGGUCGAAGGGUGCAGCCGAAUAUUGGGAGAUCAACCGUGUCCUCAAUAGUUCAAACGUUUCGAAGAGAGAACAGGACCGCAAGAUUACCUCAAACCGGUGGCAGAGGAUGCCUUUUCACACCUCAACAGGAGGAGGCUAUUUGCACCACGGUCCGAGCAAACAAUGCUAUGAGGCUCAGGGAAAUACAAAGGACCAUUAUAGAAGACAACGAUGUCUUUGAAAACAUCCAUACGGUUAGCAUCUCAACCAUCGACAGGGUGCUGCACAGAAACCAGAUGAGUAUUGAACAGCUGUACCGUGUACCAUUCCAAAGGAAUGAGGACAGAGUUAAGGAGCUACGGUACCAGUAUGUACAGCGUAUAAUGGAGUUGGAAUCAAGUGAACCCUCUCACAACUUUGUAUACGUGGAUGAGGCUGGCUUCAACCUGACCAAAUGCAGAAGGCGGGGUCGGAAUGUCAUCGGUCACAGAGCUACUGUGGAUUUGCCAGGCCAAAGGGGAGGAAAUAUCACCAUGUGUGCUGCUAUUUUGGAGCAUGGCGUCCUAACCCAUAUCCCCCUUAUAGGGCCAUACAACACCCAGCAUCUACUCAACUUUUUAGAGACUCUCUACAGGGCUCUCAUCCCUGAUGAUGAGAGGGGUCUAUUUAGAGAGGAUUUGCCAAAGUAUGUGGUCAUUUGUGAUAAUGUGAGUUUCCAUCGAUCAAACAUCAUAAGGUAAUGGUUUGUGACCCACCCAAGGAUGCUCAUAGAAUUCCUCCCACCUUAUUC
ensembl:lncRNA